rnacentral:lncRNA from 1 species
CCGGAUGAUACCUACGAUCGUUUGUGGUGGCCAUCAAACGGUACCUCACGGUGGCUGAAUCUAUCGACAACAAGUGAAAUUAAACGUUAUUUAACUGAUACAGCUGAGGUGCCAAUUAGAGUGCUCCAAACUGCCGUCACCUCGCUUACCACCUCCAUCCCUCUCAACUUGUCGUGGGCAGUUCCUUCUGCCUGGCCGGCCAUGGCACCGCCUGGGUACUACCUCAAUUUGUAUUAUACUGAUUUCCAGAAUCAGAGCAGGCGGGAAUUUGAUAUAUAUUACAAUGGCUUCCUGUGGGAGACAAAUAAUCGGCCGGUCAGCCCAACCUAUCUCUUUGCAGACUAUACAGCUGCCACAGCUCUAUUCACUGAUGCCAGCGGUUUCUACAAUGUCUCCAUAAUCGCUACCAACACCUCUGUGCUCCCUCCCAUACUAAGUGCAUACAAGAUAUACUAUCUCAUCCAGCAUGAUGAUACCGCAACCGAUACACAAGAUGGUACGUCCAGAUUCCGAUCUCCCUCGGUUCCAGCCAACGGAGAAGAGUUCUCUGCAUAAUUGUGAAGUCAUGAUUUGCCAUUUUCACAUGUGUUAAGAGAAAAUGAUAAAUACGAAGAUGCAAAGAGAAACAGCUAAGACCUAUUCUGAAUUAAAAAAAAGGCAAGAAAUUUAGGAUAAUGUCUGGUUCACCAUAGGGUCCUACAGAUGAUACACUUCACACCAUUCCAAAUAUUGAGACGUAAAGUCAUUUGUGCAAACACGAACACGGCAGGUAUCCAGUACAAAAGCCAAUUUUGGGCACAAAGCAACUUUUGGCUAGGUAUCGGAUCAACACUUACUUUCUUACAAAUAAGUUCUAGAUGUAGUUCAUGGUGUGUGGUGCCAUUCUUUAAAAUUAAACUUCAAAUUAACAGUGUGUUAGAAGACAAGACAAGUUUGCUCAGAACACAUCUACCUUUCAUUUAAUUUUCCUAUCCUUUUUAUUUAUAACUUGUCAGAAUUUUCUUACCUUUUCUACUCUUUAUAUAGAUUAUGUUGAAUAAACGUAAACUUGAAACACUAAAUGUAUAAGGCUAGUAAUUUUCAGAAUUUUCAUGCUGAUUUGGUACUUAAACUAAAUCUUUGCACUUCUGUACCAGAUACCUAUGCAACAUUCAGCUUCUUGAACUUCUCACUUGUUUCUCUUCAUUGCAAAUGAUUUUCCAUCCUAACUAGCUGCACAUAACUAUAUGUACUUCAUGUGUUCAUUCACAACUUUUCCAAUGCUAUUUGGUAAAGGAUGGGGACAUGUAUCUCUACUCGGGAAUAGUAAUUGCAUUUGCCCCUACCGAUUUCCAAGUUUAUCAAUUACUUUAAUCAGGACCCUGUAGCCCUUCUUUCAAGGGGUUACAACCAGCACCAUCUCUGCAUUUCAUGUGUACUUCAUACAACAAUCAUAUAUACUGCUAAUACUUCACACAUCAUGUGUAUAUUCAUUGUAAUUUCAGACUGGUUUUAAUUCUGAAAUCUGAAUAGGUAAAGAAAUCUUUAAACUGAAGAAGAAAAGGAGAAACAUCACAGAUAACUCACAUAGGAAUACCAGAUUGUAGUAUGCAUUGCAAAUUAAUAACUUCUUUUCAGUUCAUAAGGUUAAUAGGGUUGUCCCUAAUUAUACUAUUGUAGUAUAUGCUAAUUUCAUGCUUUCUUCUAUCAUUUUUAUUCUACUUAGUUGAAGCAAUGAUGAAUAUCAAAAGUGAAUACCAAGUUGAGAAGAACUGGAUGGGUGACCCAUGUUUACCCGAAAAAUAUACAUGGAUUGGAUUGACAUGUAGAGGUGAUGGAGUGACAUCAAGAGUAAAAAGUUUGUAAGUCUAUGGUUAAUUUUGCUCAUACUACUUUCGAAUUAAUAAAGCUGGCACUGAAUUUUGGUUCCAAGUGUGUGAGAUUAUCCAGAUUUAAACCCUAACUCUAAAUCAUCCAGCGGAUUAAUUAUUGUUUUUCCAACAUAGUAGCACUAACAGAGCACAUCAUUUUUUCAGGGACAUGUCCAACAGUGAUUUGCAAGGUGCAAUAUCUGAACAAUUUUCUUUUUUGAAAUCACUCCAAUACUUGUGAGUAUAAUUUUAUAAAAGUUUGUUUUCUUAGUUAAUAGCUCAAAAUUCUGCUAGUAAGUGGUAUGUUUUCAAAAUCUAUUUCAGGAAUUUGUCAUUCAAUAAUUUAUAUGGACCAGUGCCUGAUUCUUUGACAAACUUAUUGUCCCUUCGUGUCCUGUAAGUCCUAUACUUUGGCAGUUUAUGAAACAAGGCAGUCAUAUAGAUUGAUAGGGGAUGAUUUGUUGUCUUUUUUUUCUGCAGCGAUCUAUCAGGGAAUCAUCUUGAUGGUCCAAUUCCUGAAGCUUUAUGCAUGGCACGCUCACUUACUUUAAGGUUUGGAUCUCUUUCUUCUCUUUGAUUUUGCUCCAUAGAUGCUGAUACAAUUUUAAAGCAGACCUCCUUGAGACCGACUUGUAAGAAUUGGAAUGCAACAUCUACAGAUUUAGGGUGGAAUAAAAAGCAACAUAUUAAGUGUUUAUUUUUAGACUCGAUGUCUAGUAAAUCAACCUCUGGAACAUCCAUAUAUGCCUUCAUCCAAUUCAUUAGAGAAUUUUUUUAUGUAAUUUUAGGUAUGACACCAUAAAUGGAGAUCCAUGCAAUGGAAAAUCACCACAUAAGGAAAACACCCUCCUCAUAACUGUCGUAGCAGUACCCGUGGUGAUAAUGGCAUUGCUGGCAUGUACAUUGACAGUGUUUUGUUUCUGCAGAAAGCAAGGUAGAUAUAUGUCCUGUUAAUUCUUACAAAUUUGGUUUAUUUCAAGAUAUGAGUUCUAAUGAUUUCAACCUUUUCCCUUUGCUGCAACAAAUGAUCUAUCAAGAUACAGUUCCAAGUGUGCUACUGGGAUGUGUUGAUCUGCCAGGUCCCAAAAGUCAAGAAAACUGUAAAGGUCACAUACACACAUCCGACAGCCGUGAAUUCACAUAAGCAGAGUUGGUUGCAAUAACAAACAAUUUUUCCGCAUGCAUUGGUGAAGGAGGUUAUGGACCUGUCUUCCAUGGCCAAUUAAAAGAUGGUACUCAGGUUGCUGUCAAGAUGCAUUCUCCAACAUCAGCAACAGGAAAAGGAAUGGAAGAGUUUUUAGCUGAGGUAUUUAAUUUGAAUCUAUAGAGUAUGACAGGCAAUUUUUAUAAGUAUGCAUUCCAUGCAGAAUAUAGAUUCAAUUGUCCAAGGAUUUUUCAUGUUAUUCGUAGUAUACUGAAAAGAUUUGUGAAAUUACGGGUAUAUGAAGUUUGUAGAUCAUUAGGUAAGAUAAAAUAACAGGUGGAACUAAUAAAUGCAUAUCAAUAUUGUAACUUGCAAGGUGAAAGGGAUAACGAUUCCAUCACUUCCAUACAUAUAUCAUUUUGAAACUGACUUUCAGAACUAAAAACACUUCUGCAGGGUCUCAGACUCUAAAUUUAUUUUAUUUUAUUUUGUAGGUUGGGAGCUUAACAACCGUGCACCAUAGGUAUCUCGUUGUGCUGGUUGGCUACUGCACUGACAAGGACCAUUUAGCUCUAAUUUAUGAGUACAUGCCUAAUGGAAGUCUUUAUGAUAACAUACGAGGUUCGUAAUUUGCAAAUUCCAAAAUUAUAAUGCCGGACUUCCUUGCAAAAUCCCUUUCCUGAAGAAAAAAAAACUAUGAUUAGUAGUACUAUGUAUCAUUGUUCUUUAGAGAUCAUGCAAUGUACAAAACUAUUUACAUGAUUUUAAGCCUUCAUUAAAUGCAUCUUGUGUCACUCACUUUGCAACCGCAUCCGAUAAAUUGUUAGCUUUUACAACUUCAAUUGUGAUACUUCAGGCAGAAAUGCAAUUGUUCAGACACUGGGAUGGCAUGAUCGAGCACGGAUUGCACUUGAAGCUGCUCAAGGUGUACUCUGGAGGAAACACUGCAUUUCUUGAUUUUGCCAGUUAAAUGCACAAGCAAUAUAUGAUAACAUGUACUAUCUUACAUAGGUUUGGACUACUUGCACACGGGAUGCGUAUUACCAAUAACUCAUAGAGACUUGAAGGCGCACAACAUUCUUCUAGGACAUGACAUGGUUGCUAAGAUCUCAGAUUUUGGAUUGUCCAAGUCAUACAUCAAUGUGGCACAAAGUCACAUAUCUGUGACAGCUGCAGGAACUCUAGGCUACAUCGAUCCAGAGUUUGUUUUCAUACCUAUUCUCUUAGAAUCAUGUAAAAGUUAUUAGGAAGUAAAAAACACUUCACUAUAAAAAAAGGUGCAUUGAAUUAUAUUAUUUUUUACUAAAAUAAAGGCCUCAUAUUAGGCAAUCAGGCCUUUGUAAUGAACCCAUGCAUAUGUAAGCGUCUUCGAUUUAAACACCAAAUUAAUAUUAGAAGUUCCCACCAAAAUUAGUUGUGCCUCGCGAUUUACUAUAGCUGUGUACGAAAUAUCUAAGUUCAGACUCAUUGAAUGUUAUGAGUAACAAAAAUGUGGAAAAUCCGACAAAUGGCACAUUAAAUGAAAAAGAAAAACAUACAUACUAGUACAUCGUAAAAUAAAAAUAAAAGAUUGUGCAUAUUUGGUGCCUAAACUAGAAGUAGAUUGCAGCUGCACAGCAAAGGGUGAUUGCAUAUGAAUCCUGCUAACCAGGCAUUGUUGGCCUAUGUGUGCAUUGCUUCAUUUCUACUUAACUUCAUAAAAUUCAAAUGGUUUUCACAGAACGAACUAACCAGGCACAUUGGCCCAACUGCUCUUAUCUAGGUACUGUGUUAGCGGCAGGCUCACCACAAGCAGUGAUGUCUUC